rnacentral:rRNA from 1 species
AGGGAGCCUCAGAAACGGCUACCACAUCCAAGGAAG